CUUGGAUCACUCAUUCAGGAGGAAGCAGCUGCCGUGUCAUGAGGCAGCCUGUGAAGGGGGACACAUGAAGGAGCUUGGACGUGAUUCUUCCUCAGCUGAGCUGGAAAGGACUGCAGCCUGACCAGCACCUUGACUGCAGCCUUGCGAGAGCCCUGGAACCAGAAGCGCUCAGCCGAGCCACUCCUGGAUUUUCAGGACCCACAGAAACUGUCGUGCACCUGGUCCUGGAGCCGACAGCUUGCAGAGCCCCUGGAAGCCUACAGUGCCGCCUGCUGGAGAACUUCAUUUCAUGCAACUUUAACACAGUGCCAAAGAAGAAAAAAACAUUUCUUGAAUGCUUCUGGAAUGUCUUAGAAGUGAAACUAAUUAAAUUACAGCAUUCUAUCUCAAAUCGGCCACUGCAUGGAGCAGGCCAGACCACACAAUCAUCCACACCCAGACUGAUGCAACCUCACUGCCAAGGUUUGACUUGAGGACUCUCCAUUGGCUGUACUUCAAAGUGCCAUCUGAUACAUCAGGGAGAGCCAGCAAAGGAAUAAUGUAGCCCCAAGAAGGUGCUCUGUGAAAGGAGGGGUGUACAAGAAAUCCAGGAGCAAGAAAACAAGGCAAGACAUCAUCACUACGUAUCUGAACCAAACAUCCUUUUGCCUGUUGCUUUAUCAAUUAGGAAGAUUAUUCAUGAGCUAACAUCUGCUGCCAAUCCUCCUCUUUUUUUUGCUGAGGAAGACUGGCCCUGAGCUAACAUCCGUAUCCAUCUUCCUCUACUUUAUAUGUUAGGACACCUACCACAGCAUGGUGUGCCAAGCGGUGCCAUGUCCGCACCCAGGGUCCAAAGCGGCGAACCCCGGGCCUCCGAAGCAGAAUGUGCAAACUUAACCACUGCCCCACCCAGGCCGGCCCCCUGAUUUUUUUUAAGGAGAGGCCAGCACUGCAGCUAGCUUACCUUCUGUGGAUGCCAAGCAUACUUGAAGACAGCAACUUGGUUGACGCAAAUUCAAAAGCAAUGUGAAAUGCAGCAAAGAAGACUCCCAAUAUAUUUCUCACUCCAGGACAGCGGAAGGACACAACCUGGGGUGUUCAAUGGUUUGAACUGGUAUCUUAGCCUCACUACUCUUUAGCCGUGUAAUCUUGGACAAGUAACUUCUCUGCCUCGGUUUCCUCAUCUGUAACACAGAGAUGACAAAAUGUUUACUAUGAUGGUUAAAUGAAUUAAACAUGUAAGAUGGGUACUUCCUGGCACAUAGUCAACACUCAACCAAUGUAAGCUCUUUUUUUCACUGAAGGCUAUUUGAGUUGUUUCUUAAAGGAUACUCCAGUCCCCAGAGGGCAGUGGUCUCUUGACCCUUUUCCUCAGAAUCACAUCCAGUUGUCUAAAUCAGCUGGAGAAAAGAAAGGUGAGGAAUGGCAAAGUCCAUAUGAAUAUUUGCUGCAUCCAUUUGGCAUAUCAUUUCUAUCUGAAUGUGUACCUACAUUCUGUUGUGUAUCCAUGCUAUGUGAUCUAGAACCACGCAACACUCAAGGUAGAUAACCUCCAGGACAGAAGUAAUAAACUGUGGUAAUUUAGUCAGUUAUUUCCACGUCAAAGUAUAUGGUAGGCUGAGGACAACAAUAGAGCCAGGUAAAGAGAGAUGAGGAAGGGAUAGGAGCCUGAGAGAGAUGAGCCUUCUAGAGAGAUGAGGAACGAUGCUACCUCACCAGUGUUUGAAGUACUUAAACCAAUCCUGUGACAUUUCUCUGGCCAAUGAGCCUUUUAGCAAAGUAGGUGGUGAUCAGGACAUUUAAAGUUUGAGUGAUCUCUUUGCCCAAAUAAUCCUGAACUUCUGCUACAGGAGCCUCGCAGAAAUAUACUUGAAAUCUUUGCUACAUCAAUCUGAAUUAUGCUGUCCUUUCCCACUGGACUGAAAACCUGAGGGCAGAAGCCUUGUCUAUCCUGCUUUUUUACAUAUCCCCCUUCCUAGCCUAGAACUGUGCUUAGAACAAUACCAGCACCUUAUUUUUUGACUGCUGGAUCAGAUCCUGGGAACUUGUGACUGACAAUAAUUCAAACAGUUCAGUUCCACAUGAGUGCCCAUGCAUUUGUAACAUUCUUUUUGGAAGUGCUGGAGGACAACCUGGGGAAUGUGUAAUGGAUUUGGAAAGGCUAUCCAAGCGCUGAAAAUGCAUCAAGUGUUCUAGCCUCAUUCAUCACCAGCCUGAUGCCAAUCCCCACUGUAUGAUGGGACCUGGAUCUGACAUCAUUUGACUUUUGGCAGAUAGCAGAGUAGUUAUGAAAUUUAUCCAGACACAUCAUCGUGAGAAACCCCAGAAGGCCCUUCAUAUCUUCCCAGACCCUUGUUCUUAGUGAGUCUCCAGCACACCGCCAUUGCCGAUCAAUGUUUACGUGACACAUCAAUACUAAAUAUAACUGUCCUGCCUUUGCCUUUCAGAUUUAUCUUAAAGAAUGAAUAAAAGAAGUUAAAUGAUUAUAGGAACCCACUUCUGUUUCUACUGACACAUCCAGAAUUUCUAGUCUUGAAUCAUUCCACACUUAAACCUCAAACUAUUAGGUGCCUGAUUUAUGAAAGGAAAAAGAAAUAGAUUGACAACUGGAUAAAUUCUGUCAUGGGUUGGAAAAACCAGUCUAUUGGCAUUUCCAAAAAUCUUCCCCAUUUAUUCUUUAUUAUAAAUGUGUAUAAAAUAAUUGUUGAAACUUUGAAAUUUAUUGUAUAUGCUUUUAAGUAAAUUUAACUCAGAUUCUCA
ensembl:lncRNA